rnacentral:rRNA from 1 species
GAUGAACGCUAGCUAUAGGCUUAACACAUGCAAGUCGAGGGGCAGCGAAUAGAUAGCUUGCUAUUUAUGUCGGCGACCGGCGCACGGGUGAGUAACGCGUAUCCAACCUGCCCAUAACUAAGGGAUAACCCAGCGAAAGUUGGACUAAUACCUUAUGUGUUCGUUUGAUCUCAUGAGAUUACGAAUAAAGAUUUAUCGGUUAUGGAUGGGGAUGCGUCUGAUUAGCUUGUUGGCGGGGUAACGGCCCACCAAGGCAACGAUCAGUAGGGGUUCUGAGAGGAAGGUCCCCCACAUUGGAACUGAGACACGGUCCAAACUCCUACGGGAGGCAGCAGUGAGGAAUAUUGGUCAAUGGACGCAAGUCUGAACCAGCCAAGUAGCGUGCAGGAUGACGGCCCUAUGGGUUGUAAACUGCUUUUAUAUGGGGAUAAAGUGGGGAACGGGUUCCCUUUUGCAGGUACCAUAUGAAUAAGGACCGGCUAAUUCCGUG